AGCUUUGCGCAGUGGCAGUAUCGUAGCCAAUGAGGUUUAUCCGAGGCGCGAUUAUUGCUAAUUUAAUGUUAAGAAGUUCACAUGGCAAAGAAUUGGGGCCUCUUGGCAAAAGCCGCUGAGGAGCCCUAACUUCCAGACACUGCCGUGU